rnacentral:rRNA from 1 species
GAUCAUGGCUCAGAUUGAACGCUGGCGGCAGGCUUAACACAUGCAAGUCGAGCGGGGAAAGGUAGCUUGCUACCUGACCUAGCGGCGGACGGGUGAGUAAUGCUUAGGAAUCUGCCUAUUAGUGGGGGACAACAUCUCGAAAGGGAUGCUAAUACCGCAUACGUCCUACGGGAGAAAGCAGGGGACUUUCGGGCCUUGCGCUAAUAGAUGAGCCUAAGUCGGAUUAGCUAGUUGGUGGGGUAAAGG